GCUCAGAUUGAACGCUGGCGGAAUGCUUUACACAUGCAAGUCGAACGAUGAACCUUAGCUUGUCAGGGGGAUUAGUGGCGGACGGGUGAGUAAUAUAUCGGAACGUGUCCAUUAAUGGGGGAUAACUAGCCGAAAGGUUGGCUAAUACCGCAUACGCCCUGAGGGGGAAAGCUGGGGAUCUUCGGACCUGGCGUUAAUGGAGCGGCCGAUACCUGAUUAGCUGGUUGGUAGGGUAAUGGCCUACCAAGGCAACGAUCAGUAGCUGGUCUGAGAGGACGACCAGCCACACUGGGACUGAGACACGGCCCAGACUCCUACGGGGGGCAGCAGUGGGGAAUUUUGGACAAUGGGGGCAACCCUGAUCCAGCCAUUCCGCGUGAGUGAAGAAGGCCUUCGGGUUGUAAAGCUCUUUCGCAAGGGAAGAAAAGAUACAGGUUAAUAGCUUGUGUUGAUGACGGUACCUUGACAAGAAGCACCGGCUAACUACGUGCCAGCAGCCGCGGUAAUACGUAGGGUGCAAGCGUUAAUCGGAAUUACUGGGCGUAAAGCGUGCGCAGGCUGUUUGGCAAGUCAGAUGUGAAAUCCCCGAGCUCAACUUGGGAACUGCGUUUGAAACUGCCAGACUAGAAUAGGUCAGAGGGGGGUAGAAUUCCACGUGUAGCAGUGAAAUGCGUAGAGAUGUGGAGGAAUACCAAUGGCGAAGGCAGCCCCCUGGGAUCAUAUUGACGCUCAUGCACGAAAGCGUGGGGAGCGAACAGGAUUAGAUACCCUGGUAGUCCACGCCCUAAACGAUGUCAACUAGUUGUUGGUGGAGUAAAAUCCAUGAGUAACGUAGCUAACGCGUGAAGUUGACCGCCUGGGGAGUACGGUCGCAAGAUUAAAACUCAAAUGAAUUGACGGGGGCCCGCACAAGCGGUGGAUUAUGUGGAUUAAUUCGAUGCAACGCGAAAAACCUUACCUGGCCUUGACAUGUACGGAACUUUCCAGAGA
rnacentral:rRNA from 1 species